rnacentral:lncRNA from 1 species
UGGAAGGACAGGAAACAAUGAAAAAUUGGUCACAGAAAGACAAGCAAAAAUGUAGCCAAAUGAAAUGAAUUGCCGCUACAGAAAGUUAUUUUGUCGGUAAGCUACCUUUCUAAGUUCUCACGAAGCUGAGAAACAAGUACACCAGAAUUUUCAAUCUUUUUUACCAAGUCAUCAUUUCUUUUUAGGAGGUCUUCAUUUCUCCUUAUUAGAUCAUCAUUUCUUCCAUGAGCCUCAGUACGUGCACUUUUUAUACCAUUGCCUUCUUGUUUCUCCAUUACAAAGUUAGACAAUCUUGAUAUGGCAUCUACUUGAAGCCUAAUUCGUAAAGACAUUAGUCACCAAAAGGAUGAUAUAAUGAUCAGUAAUUUGAUGGCACAGUAGUUGACAAUUAGAGAAAAGUAAAUUAAGAUACCAACUUCUGCACAGUAUCUUGAAGCUGGUGGGCCCUGUAUUCGCUAUCCCUAACUUUCUUAAAUAACACCUCAUUUCUCUCCUGAGCUUCAACAAGGGACCUCCUGAUUGCUUCAUUUUCUUGUCUUUCAGCUUCCAAAGAAGCUGUCAUAUCCUCCUUAACCCUGUUUUGGGAUAAAAACAACAGUUGCAACUUCACAAUGCAGAUUAGUAAUAAUGGAAAACAUGAAGAACUAUUAGAGUUAAGCAUACAAAUGAGGAAAUGAAUAAAACCUAGGUUUUGUGUGAUGCAUGCUGCAUAUCCCUAGUUGAUGAAAAGUCUUAAUCUAUCUCAGAUACUCACAAAUGCACUUCUAUGUUUAUUUUCUGCUGUUAUCAUUCUUUCAACUUUGAUAGGCUUGCAACACUGAAAGAUAAUCUGCAUGCAUGUGGCACAUAUCUGCCAUCAAUGUCUCGCUCUCUCUGCAUAUAUAUCUUUCCAGAACAUGUGAUCUUGAUUCAUUUUAGUGUUAUGCAAAAAAGGUAGUGGGACAUAAGAGUGUAUGAUCCUGACAAUAUGUCAUACUACAUUUAGUAUAGAAAGACAUCUAGGUGCUAUAUUAACAGCAUGUGAGGAUAAAAAAGUCUGGUUUUUAGUAUGGAACCACAUGCCUUGUACCACUGAUCUUGAGACAUGGGAAGAAAUUCCAAAAAAAAAAACAAUGAAUUUUUUUUUGAAGGGGGGGGGGGGUUCACAUGCUGACAAGGGAGAACUAUAGGAGCGUACUUGUAAUAUAAUAUACAUAAAGCUUUAUUGAAGGUACAUACGAAUUUAUAGUGUUUUGAAGAUGCUCAGCUUUUUUGUUGGCUUCUUCUGCUUUCAUCAGUAACUCUUCAUUUUUGUAUUCACUCUCAGUGAGUGCUUUCUUCAGUGCAUCCUUCUCAUGUCUCUCAGAUAUCAGCAAAGUGUCUUUCGCUGUAUUAUCACCAAGCCUGAAAUUGAUCACCAGUUAUUAUGUCAAGUACAUCUACAUUUACGUAAGCACACUCACUAACUAUAUGUAAGCAUUCCCAGAGCCAAGCACAGCUUAAUAAAAACAAUAGAUGUAUAAAGUACCUUUGUAUGCUGCCUUGAAGAAGACCAAUUUUUUUGUCAACGUCCUCAAGCUUCUUUAGUAACUGCAAAAUUCUUUCUUGACUUUCAGCUUGUGCCUUCAUGGUUGCACUGUUUUGUUCUCGUUCUCUCAACAGUAAAACCUCUGUAGCAGAUGCGUUUUCCUGAAGCCUAGUCUCAGGUAGAAAUAUGGAGUUGAUUCAAAAGUUAAAACAGAUAAUCUUCUGAUAGAAUUUAUGCCCCUAGAGGUUGUUAAGCAGACAAUAAGGAACGAUUAUGGACCUCUCAACAGUUAGCUGAAGCUGAAGAGUAUUUUUAUCAUAAUCCUGAAUUUUCUUGAUUAAUUCUUCAUUUCUACACUGAGUUUCGGUCAGAACUUUCUUGGUCGUCUCAUGUGCUUGUUUCUCUGAUAACAAAAGUGCAUCUCUGGAAGUAGCAUCCGCUUCAGACCUUUAAAAAUCACAGUGAAAGGUCACUAUCACAGUGUAAUGAUGAUACUGAGCAAGAAGUUGGGACACAUACUCAAGAGAAAGCAUCAGACCUCUUGAUGGUAUCUUCCAAUUGUUUUCUGGUUUCUUGGGACUGUUGUGACUCGUGUACUAAUUCAUUGAUCUUUUUCUGGGCGUUGGCUAUUUCUUCUUUAGUCGUUUUGUUUUCUUGUCUUUCUACUUCCAACAAAGAGUCUUUCUCCGCUGUGCGUUCUUCUAGUCUAUGUGCAAAAAGAAAAGAAAAUCCUCAAGAAACAGGCAGAUCAGAAAUGCUUGUAACAAAAGGAAUCUAACCUGUUAACUGAAUCCUCAAGCAUAUUGAUUUUUUUAGCUGAAUCCUCGAAACUUGUCAUCAAGUCUCGGUUUCUCCCUUGAGCUUCAGUUAGCGCUUUUACUGUACAGUCGAGAUUUUGUUUUGUCUUAAGCAGCAAAGAUUCCCUUGCCGUUGCAUGUUUCUCAAGUCUAAAAUCAUUAAGGAAGAGGAAGUAUGUGUUAGCUCAUAAAGUUGAAGUACAGGAUUAGCUCUCUUAAGUUGCACAUAUUGCAUUAUGCUUGAGUAAAGAAAGCUCAGCUCUACAACUAGUGACAAGAUAAGAACCUUUGAGCGUUCUCCAGCAUCUUGUUUAUAGUUUUUUCACUAUCAUCAACUUUCCUUAGCAAUUCCCAAUUUCUUUCCUGAGCUUUCAAAAGUGCUUGCUUGGUUUGAUCAUGCUCUUGCCUUUCUGCUACAUACAGGGCAUCCCUUGUGGUUGCAUUUUCCUCACACCUGUAUUCAGUGAGUGAGAAUUCUUAACGCUGCCAGCUCGUUAUAUUGAGGACUGGAAUAGAAAGGCAGAAGCAGCAUUGCUAAAGACGUCCAAAACGUACACAACAUCACCUGCACCUAUGAUCAAUCCUCUAUACGACACAUCAUUGCUAUGACAUAUAAUAUACUUUUUAAUCCUUUACUUUCAAAUAUUUCCAAAGAGGUAUUGAUAAAUGCAGCUGUGGAACUCCCUUUGUUGUUUCAUGUAACUACGACUCGCAUCGAGAUCUUAAGCACCUUGCUAAAACAUGC